ensembl:lncRNA
CAGAGAAUGCACAGGUUGCAGAGACAGUACCAGAGACAAUGAAGGAACAAAGACCAAAAAGAAACGUUAAACCUCCAGAAAGACUGAUUGAAGUUAUGUGAAGUGUUGAAUUACAAGGGACUUUAGUUUCUAUGGUAAAAAAGGGAUCUACAAGUCGCUGCUAUCUCAACAAUACACGAAACAAUGGCUGACAAUUACCAGGGUGGUUUUGAGAAUCAGGAUUUCGACGAUGGUUUGGAACAGAUCCUUGAAGAGCUAUUCGAUGAGGCGGAGCUAUUUGGUUGUGAUGAUGAUGGCGCUGUUAAUAACGGUGAGCACGUUGAUUCCGACAGUCACGUGCUAAUGUUACUUACAGAGGCCGCUUUACAAGAGGUUGUGGUUAGCGUGGACGUCACAAAUCCCGCCCCCAGACCCAUUCCGUCUUCAGAGGAACGGUCUCACACGCUCCCAGACUGCUCAAGUGUUCACAUCCCAGGUGCUUCCAGGCCGCGUCACUCACAGGGUCAGGGGGUAAAACGUUUGAGGUUAGCGGAGCACGAAACGGAUGAUGCUCCGACCACUAGCCAUUUAAGGACUUCGGAGAAUAACAGUAUGUAUUAAAACAGAAAAUCUUGUUAUUACUUUUAUAUACUUUCUACACAUAGAUGUACCAUGUAUGUGAG